rnacentral:rRNA from 1 species
GGGGGGGGGGGGGGGGGGGGGGGGGGGGGGGGGGGCGGGCGGAGGGGGGCGGGGGCUGGCGCCGGAAACGGUUGGCGGCGGACGGGGGAGUGACACGUAAGGGCCCUGCCUCAUAGGCUGGGACGACUGUUGGCAGCGCUAGCUAAUCCCGGCUCACAGCAUUACCUGCAUGGUUGAUGUUUAACAGGUGGUUUUGCUCACCCUCUGCGAUUGCUUUGCGGUGCCUUCGCUAGUUGGGGGGGUAAAGGCCUACCAAGGCGACGAUGCAUAGCCGACCUGAGAGGGUGAUCGGCCACACUGGGACUGAGACACGGCCCAGACUCCUACGGGAGGCAGCAGUAGGGAAUCUUCCGCAAUGGGCGAAAGCCUGACGGAGCAACGCCGCGUGAGUGAAGAAGGAUUUCGGUUCGUAAAGCUCUGUUGUUAGGGAAGAAUGAGUGUGUAGUAACUAUACACAGUAGAGACGGUACCUAACCAGAAAGCCACGGCUAACUACGUG